CCCUUAGAUGUCCGGGGCCGCACGCGCGCUACACUGAAGGAAUCAGCGUGGCUUUCUCCCUGACCCGAAAGGGUUGGGAAACCCGUUGAAUCUCCUUCGUGAUAGGGAUUGGGGCUUGAAAUUGUUCCCCAUGAACGAGGAAUUCCCAGUAAGCGCGAGUCAUAAGCUCGCGUUGAUUACGUCCCUGCCCUUUGUACACACCGCCCGUCGCUACUACCGAUUGAACGGUUUAGUGAGGGCCUCGGAUUGGUCUCGGCCCGCUCUUUACCGGGCGGCGCCGUUGGUCGAGAAGACGAUCGAACUUGAUCGUUUAGAGGAAGUAAAAGUCGUAACA
rnacentral:rRNA from 1 species